UACCGUCAGUAACGUCUGUCAGAGCUAACUGAAGCUAAGUGGCUAACUCAUGAGAAGUCUGUUUAUUAAUGUAAAAUAAUUUAAAUAUUUAAUUUUUUGUCUGUGCAGAUUCUGAAGAUGGUCCGCUGACUCUCUCGACCCGGAGAACCCGACCAAGUCAUGCAAGUCGAGGGGCUCCAACCUGCGGGUGCACUAA